GGGCUGUCGUCAGCUCGUGUCGUGAGAUGUUGGGUUAAGCCCCGCAACGAGCGCAACCCCUGCAUCCAGUUGCCAUCGGGCGAGCCGGGCACUCUGGAGGGACUGCCGGCGACAAGCCGGAGGAAGGUGGGGAUGACGUCAAGUCAUCAUGGCCCUUAUGUCCAGGGCGACACACGUGCUACAAUGGCCGGCACAGCGGGAAGCGGAGGGGCGACCCUGAGCGGAUCCCUUGAAAGCCGGUCCCAGUUCGGAUUGCAGUCUGCAACUCGACUGCAUGAAGUUGGAAUCGCUAGUAAUCGCGGAUCAGCCAAGCCGCGGUGAAUACGUUCCCGGGCCUU
rnacentral:rRNA from 1 species